rnacentral:rRNA from 1 species
CCUACGGGAGGCAGCAGUGAGGAAUAUUGGUCAAUGGGCGAGAGCCUGAACCAGCCAAGUCGCGUGAGGGAGUACUGCCCUAUGGGUUUUAAACCUCUUUUGUCGGGGAGCAAAAGCCGGACGUGUCCGGCUGUGAGAGUACCCGAAGAAAAAGCAUCGGCUAACUCCGUGCCAGCAGCCGCGGUAAUACGGGGGAUGCGAGCGUUGUCCGGAUUUAUUGGGGUAAAAGGGUGCGCAGGGGGGUUUUUAAGCCAGCGGUCAAAUCGUGGGGCGUAACCACAUCCAGCCGUUGAAACUGGGGAUCUAGAGUGUGCGAGAGGUAUGCGGAAUGCGUGGUGUAGCGGUGAAAGGCAUAGAUAUCACGCAGAACCCCGAUUGCGAAGGCAGCAUACCGGUGCACAACUGACGCUCAGGCACGAAAGCGUGGGUAUCGAACAGGAUUAGAUACUCCAGUAGUC